UUUUGAAGAACAGGUCUGGGUUAUGGUUGCCUAACAACAAUGGCGGUAGUAAAUAAAAACCGACAUAUAAUAAAAAUUUAGACGACGGUUGGUUUGGUGGAAACCAAUCGUUGUCGUGGUUUACAAAAAACCAAAGCCUAAUUAUUCCAUCCUCAUUCCAUUUCAAAGAACCCUUAACAGAAUGCAAACAUCAAAACAUAAAAACAACCCAUUUAUAGCUCCCAAU
rnacentral:lncRNA from 1 species